GGGGGAGGGAGGGAUUAUGGAGGCUGCCUCUCGGAGAACCAUCAGGCCAACAUCUGCUGCAGCAAAGAGGCAGUUAGCAGCCCUUGAAGAAAACUCAUUUUUGCUCUAUUAUGAUUGAGUCUUCCAGAGAAAUCUGUUUUGUAACUGAAAGCUGAUAAAUUAAAGCUGGCUGUGGAUGAAGCCAUUGAAAGCUGCUGACCCCAAACAAUUUUGCUCUAAAGAAACAAAACAGAACACUUAAAUUGAUGAGAGCAGAGCAGCUCUCAGAAAGCAGCUCUCAGAGACGUCUGACGGGAGGGAGAGCUGGGCAGGACGGCCCAGCCCCGAGCAGGCCACCACACAUGCACGUGUCCAGGAGCUGUGACCCAGACCCGCGUCCCAGGACAGACUGGAGGUGGAGGCAGAAAUGAGUGCUCACGGACACCUGCUCUAAGGAUGAGAGCAGAGGUUGAUGGGAAGUAGGCCACAGAACAGACCCCCAACUGGACACAACUGAGGCAGCCAGACUCAACCUCCAGGCCCUGCCCCUGAACUGCUGAAAUCAUGUGGAGAAGAAAGUUAGACAAGUGGGGCCAUGUAAGGGCCUGACCUGGACUGAACUUUGAGAUCUCCCAGGAUGUGGUGGACCCCUGGCAAAGACACAGAUGAGGAAGCUGAGGAUCUGAGAGGAUAAGCCAAGACUUCUUUGAGUAUGGAUUCUAGAAGCAUCAGAAGCCUAAAUUCACCAGGCUCCUUUCGGCGUCCGUAAACUGGAUAGAUUCCCAUUGUGAGGCAACCACCAAGAGCCUGAAAACGUAGUACCGGCUGACGGAGGGUUACAUUGUACAGCAAGCAAAGGGAGUCAAAUCAAGGAAGAAGAGCUAACGGACUUCACUUGUGCCAGGCACCGUAGCUCUUUGUAUGUCUUCCCUCGUUUGAACCUCACAAGGGUCUUCUGAGCUGUGCUUGGCAUUUGCUACGCGGAGGUUGGCGUGGGGAGGCGUACCGUGGAGACACUGAGACCAGAUGCCUGAAUUUAACAGGUCUAUGGCUCAUUUGGGGAGAACGAGGACAAGUCGCAACAAACAAAACAAGGCAAGAGAGAGCGAGAGCGGUUGGGGAAGCAGCCACCAACUCUCACUCCAGAUGAAAGCUGCUUCAGAGGGAGGUAUCUGGUGCACAACUCUUCGCAAGCAGGUGGUGAUCCGUGGGCCCUUAAUCGAGGACUUUCUUCUUCGGUUGCUGCCAGCCGGCUUGUGGAGAGUACCUAGUGAAUCUCAUGUGUCCAGCAGAGAGGAAUAUGGGCCUCCCCAUGCAUUUCAGGGCCCGUCUUCCUUGAAGAGAAGGCAAGAAGCAGGAAGACACAUUUUUCACUGCUGAGCGAAGUUUUAUUUAGGUGGGCAUAACAGUGCAGAACCAAAACAGUGCUUCGCCCUUCCCUACACAGCAGCCUUGAUUUAGGGAGGGAUCCACCUUUCAUCCCUCCCUAAAGGGAGGCCGGCUGGAUCAGAACGCAGAACUUGGACAGGCGGCUUACGUGGAAAUACAAAAGUGUAACAGUGAUAGCCACCAAACUGGAGAGUUUCAAGGUUCUUGUGCUUUUUUUAAGGACUGUUUUCUAACCAUGACACGCUGUCAUCCUUUGAUCCUUGUGGGACAGAAAGUGAUCAUUCUUACCAAAUGAUACAGCAAAGAGAGCAUGCGUGUCUCUCUUUAAAAGUUCUGGAGAUGUUUGGUCGUUGAAAAGAAUGUGAAUUACACCUAGAGCACCGCUUUACAGAACCCCAUUAGGCUGUAAUUAUGGUGCUUUUAAAAAACUCCGACUUGUAAACAGGAAUUGAUGGCUUCAUCCUUUGUAGGGAACGCUGGUGACACUGUCGAAUUCUACAAGGACUUUCCUCCUCUGGUGGGCAGGGGAGAGCACUCAAGGCAUUAGAAACUCUUGUCACUUUCAAGAACUUGAAGAACAAUCACGGAUCAAACACAUGCUUUCAGUGACACAGUAUUUUUACGGCUAAAGAGAGAACGCUGAAACAAUACAUUUCAUUUCCAGCAGGCCGAACAAAGCCAUCACGAAUUAACAUCUAUUAUGUUCCACAAACGACACAAUAUCAUCUUUGCCAAUCUUUUUUAAAGGUUUCGCAUCACUUGUGAAAAACAGGACCAAAAGGCCAACGAUUGCCCAGAAGGAGCCACUUCAUCUCCACGCCCUCAGAAGAACCCCCAAUUACUGGCAAUUGCGCAUUUCAAUCAACGUUCCUUUUCAAGAGGUCGUUCUGGGAAAUAACGGAGGUCAGGGGCUUUAAAACAUCAAUUUCAAAAAAAAUUUUUUUCAUCACUGCAAGGCGACACUGAACUUGUACUGAACUUGGAAAGUGGUCACAACUUCACAGUAAAAAGCCAAGGACUGUCAUUACUUACAUGUAGAGACCUAGUCAUUUACAGAAAUAUUCCUCUCUCCACCGUGAGGCUGAGUCUCCCCUCUCGUCUCCUGCCGAGGACGGUUUGCCUUUUAAAUCAACACAGUUAGUUGCCAACAAACUAGGACUUCUCCUAACAGUGUGUUCAUGUGUUCACCAAAUAUUUACACAAUGUCCGUUACGCUCCAGCCAGUCGCUGUGUUAGGAGCCUGCGGUACAGCACUAGAUAACAACUCCCAUCACUGUAGAUAUUCUGUCAACUGGGACUGACAACAAGCAAAAUAAACCAACGCGAACACAGUUUAAAACGCAUGCGGCAAUCCACCCCCAGGAGCAGAACUCCCUGUCACAGGACGGAGGCCGGCAGCGCCCCCAGCCCACCUCCGCUCAGUGUUGGAUAGGAGAGGGUGCUCAGUGAACGGGGAGCUUCUACGAGCGAAACACAGACGUGCAGCAAGCCCUGCCGCACAGCUGGAAGUUCUCGCAUUUUCACAGCACAGCUACAAAGGAGGACAAAGCAUCUGACAAGGGCUGUGCUCACCCUCACCCGCACUCUAUAGAGAAGCCGGACGGGGGUCGCUCCGGGCCACUGCCAGCCACACGCACUCUCUUAGUUGACUUUUUCAGCCUGACUCUACAAAAUGAAAUCCAUUCCUCAAAAGGUAGAGCACGGUCAAGAGUGCGCAGACACGAUUUCACUAAGUAAACACGCAGCAGCUUUCCACGUGGGCAAAGGGGCCUCCGUUCUGUGCCGUGCAUCUUGGUCUCCAGCCACAAGAGCACAGCUUCGUGGACGACGAUGGCCCCUGAAGGUGUAUUUAGUGUUGUGUGCAUCCCAGAGGAAAGGGUUCGUAGCUUUAAAAGUAUUGGCAAGGGGUCUGUAACUUCCUGGAGGCUUAAGAAUGUCUACAUUCCCGUCUUAAGAUGGGAAGUCUCUGCCUCCCGUGUGGUAAAAGCGAACACGUGGCUGGAUACUGCUUUCAGAAUGAUCC